rnacentral:lncRNA from 1 species
ACUAACCGAAAACCGAACCGGUUAACAGUAAUAACCCGUACCGUUAACCGGACCGGUAAACCGGUUAACCGAAUUAACCGGUUAAUUACAGAGCAGAUGAGAUCAGACAGAACCACCAGUUAAUUUGCUCGAUCUUCAUCAGUACAUCUCAUGUAUCUUCAAUUUUGGAAGUACGAAGGAGUGAUAAUAGCUCUCUGCCAAACCUACAAUCUUCUAUACAAUCAUCAAAUUUAGAAAAGCUUAUUAUGUGUAGAACCAUUAGUUCAGUUCCCACGAACAAAAAGUCAAUAUAUUUUGGCUAAUUAACAGAGGAUGCAAAAUACACAUAGGUAGAAGGUAAAAUCAAACCUUCCGCACGGGUUUGGCCUUGAUGGAGGCAUAUAUCACACAAAAUCAUUCAUAAUUCAGCCAUGGCAAAGGACAAUUUACACAAAAAUACAGCAACAAAAUGCGACAUAAAAAAUUUCAAACCCUAAAAAUUGAGGGCUUAAUUAAUUGAGGCGUCUACAAUGUGGGAUGGAGGGAAGACGCCGAUGGGAAGGGCAGGUCGCAGGCUCGCUCACACGCAGGCUGCCUGGGACUCGCUUUCUCGACCGCCGAUCCGCCGUCGUCGGAGCUCGGAGGCGAGUAAAGGCCGAAGGGACUCGCCGGUGGAUUAGCCGAGGAAAGAGGCGGAGGCGCUCAGGUGCGGUAGACCGGCGACGUGGGUAAGAUCCGCCAGCGGGAAUUGUGCGCCGGUGGGAACUGAGGAAAGGCAGCGACGUCGCGCGGCGCCGGUGGAUUAGCCGAUAAACAUCGCAGAUUUGGGGGAACAGGGGCUGGGGAAGGGAAAAGUCUGAAACUGGGGAAAUCGGUG